rnacentral:rRNA from 1 species
GGGGACCUUCGGGCCUUGCGCUAUCAGAUGAGCCUAGGUCGGAUUAGCUAGUUGGUGAGGUAAUGGCUCACCAAGGCGACGAUCCGUAACUGGUCUGAGAGGAUGAUCAGUCACACUGGAACUGAGACACGGUCCAGACUCCUACGGGAGGCAGCAGUGGGGAAUAUUGGACAAUGGGCGAAAGCCUGAUCCAGCCAUGCCGCGUGUGUGAAGAAGGUCUUCGGAUUGUAAAGCACUUUAAGUUGGGAGGAAGGGCAGUAAGUUAAUACCUUGCUGUUUUGACGUUACCGACAGAAUAAGCACCGGCUUUCUUCGUGCCAGCAGCCGCGGUAAUACGAAGGGUGCAAGCGUUAAUCGGAAUUACUGGGCGUAAAGCGCGCGUAGGUGGUUCGUUAAGUUGGAUGUGAAAGCCCCGGGCUCAACCUGGGAACUGCAUCCAAAACUGGCGAGCUAGAGUACGGUAGAGGGUGGUGGAAUUUCCUGUGUAGCGGUGAAAUGCGUAGAUAUAGGAAGGAACACCAGUGGCGAAGGCGACCACCUGGACUGAUACUGACACUGAGGUGCGAAAGCGUGGGGAGCAAACAGGAUUAGAUACCCUGGUAGUCCACGCCGUAAACGAUGUCAACUAGCCGUUGGAAUCCUUGAGAUUUUAGUGGCGCAGCUAACCGAUUAAGUUGACCGCCUGGGGAGUACGGCCGCAAGGUUAAAACUCAAAUGAAUUGACGGGGGCCCGCACAAGCGGUGGAGCAUGUGGUAAAAUUCGAAGCAACGCGAAGAACCUUACCUGGCCUUGACAUGCUGAGAACUUU